UAGACAUAGAAACACUCUCAGACAGCAGCUUGCUGUUACUGCGCCUGCUGCCAGUCUGACUCCGCUGCUUUGGGUGAAUGACGUCACGUGCGACCUGGAGGUGUUAACCACUUGUGUACCAAAUCUUUUUUUUUUUUGGUUGAAAACAUUCGGGGCUAAUGAAAAAACAUUUGGGGCUUUAGCCCCGGAUGUUUUUUAGCCUAGGGACGCCACUGGUCUGAGAGUGUUUCUAUGUCUACACAUUUCGCUGCUUCACUCUUCUGGGCUAAACCCAGCGCCGCCGCUCCCAUAACGCGCAUCGCUCUGCCUUGAUACGCGCCGACACACCCGCACACACAGCUGCUCUGAACGACAUGCUGCCUGCGCUGGACUUCAUCCGGAUCGCCUCAGACGACGAAGGUAAUCGAGGUUUCGAUGGCCGUAGCACAAGAAGCAGCAACAAGGAUGGAGGACCACAGGACCAGACGAGAAGGAUGGAGGACCACAGGACCAGACGAGAAGGAUGGAGGACCACAGGACCAGACGAGAAGGAUGGAGGACCACAGGACCAGAUGGACAGCGGCGGUCGUCUUUCUUUCAGAAGCUGAGGGUUGAUGUCCACCGACCCCCCUGAACCCCUCUCAGCACCCCAGAGUCCGAGACCCAGGGAGUAAGGUCCUCCCAGCCCCUCCACCCCGACACCACCCGCCCCCCAGCCGAGAGGACGAGGAGGGUCCCCUCCCCACCAGCACAAAGGACGUAGUUUAUUUCCAUCUGCUUUUUUAUAUUCUUUAUUAUAUCAUAUUUGUGACUUUUUUUGUUUUUUCCCUGUCUCUCUCUUGUUACGUGUGAGUCAUCGCCGUGACUUCCGGCACCUGGCCUCAUCUCCACACCUGCACGUCGUCUCCAGCACCGGUCUUCACUCAAGUCAUCAACUCCUUCCUGCUGAAACACCCCGGCUUCCCUCACCAGCUGCCAGAUGACUUCACCGUUUCCAGUGGUCCUUAAAUCUCAGCCUCUCUAGCAUUGAGAGAGCUGCAGCCCACCACCCCCCACCACCCCUCACGCCCCCUCACGCCCCCUCUCCACCCCUCACCGUUCUGUCUGCAUUCCCCUCCUGUCGUACCAUCAAAUAAACUCUUUACCUUCACCCAA